rnacentral:ncRNA from 1 species
UUAAGAAAUUAGGGGUGCCCUUUUAAGACGAACUUCAUAUUUGUCUCGAAAGGGCUGAGAAAAUACCCAUUGAACCUGUUCGGGUAAUGCCGUCGUAGGGAUAAUUUAUGUUUUUAGAU